GUAAUAUACAUUAGGCUAAAGUGUUUGGCGCUUUUAUGGAUGUUAUAGAAAAGGUGUUAAAUUAAACGUCGUUAUUUUGUGGAUUGUUUUGUUAGUAUUUUAAUACAUUCUCAAAUAAUAGAGCACAAGAUCAUCACCCAUAAUUCUAAGUCAGCUGUAGUUGUGUAAGAAGAUAUCUAAUGGCAACAGAAGAUCCACCAAAACCAUCUCAAGAAAGUGAUAAUUCAAAAAACACAUCCCAGUCGCAAUCCAGUGCCCAGUCAUCUUGCCCAGUGACAUCUGGUGGUGGGAUAGUUUCCAAGUCUACAGAUUCAUCUAACACCUCUAAACCUAAACCAAACUAUACCUUGAAGUUUACACUAGCUGGACAUACAAAAGCUGUGUCAUCAGUGAAGUUCAGUCCUAGUGGAGAAUGGUUAGCCAGUUCAUGU